AACGAACGCUGGCGGCAGGCUUAACACAUGCAAGUCGAGCGCCCCGCAAGGGGAGCGGCAGACGGGUGAGUAACGCGUGGGAAUCUACCCAUCUCUACGGAAUAACUCAGGGAAACUUGUGCUAAUACCGUAUACGCCCUUCGGGGGAAAGAUUUAUCGGAGAUGGAUGAGCCCGCGUUGGAUUAGCUAGUUGGUGGGGUAAAGGCCUACCAAGGCGACGAUCCAUAGCUGGUCUGAGAGGAUGAUCAGCCACAUUGGGACUGAGACACGGCCCAAACUCCUACGGGAGGCAGCAGUGGGGAAUAUUGGACAAUGGGCGCAAGCCUGAUCCAGCCAUGCCGCGUGAGUGAUGAAGGCCUUAGGGUUGUAAAGCUCUUUCGGCGGGGACGAUAAUGACGGUACCCGCAGAAUAAGCCCCGGCUAACUUCGUGCCAGCAGCCGCCGUAAUAC
rnacentral:rRNA from 1 species